GGAGACGUGGGUGAGUGGCUGAAACCAGCGGUUUGCUAAACCGCCGUGCUGAUAAUUCGGCACCGAGGGUUCGAAUCCCUCCGUCUCCGCCA
rnacentral:tRNA from 1 species